rnacentral:rRNA from 1 species
UCGGACGGGGGGNAUAACGCGUGAGAAUUCUGUCUUCAGGUCGGGGACAACAGUUAGAAAUGACUGCUAAUACCGGAUAUUGCCAACAGGUGAAAGAUUUAUUGCCUGAAAAAGAGCUCGCGUCAGAUUAGCUAGUAGGUGGUGUAAGAGACUACCUAGGCUUCGAUCUGUAGCUGGUCUGAGAGGACGAUCAGCCACACGGGAACUGAGACACGGUCCAGACUCCUACGGGAGGCAGCAGUGGGGAAUUUUCCGCAAUGGGCGAAAGCCUGACGGAGCAAUACCGCGUGAGGGACGAAGGCUCUUGGGUCGUAAACCUCUUUUCUCAAGGAAGAUAAUGACGGUACUUGAGGAAUAAGCAUCGGCUAACUCUGUGCCAGCAGCCGCGGUAAUACAGAGGAUGCAAGCGUUAUCCGGAAUGAUUGGGCGUAAAGCGUCCUCAGGUGGUUUUAUAAGUCUGCUGUUAAAGCGUUUGGCUCAACCACAUACAGGCAGUGGAAACUAUAAGACUAGAGUAUGUUAGGGGUAGAGGGAAUUCCCAGUGUAGCGGUGAAAUGCGUAGAGAUUGGGAAGAACACCGGUGGCGAAAGCGCUCUGCUAGGACAAUACUGACACNUG